AUGACGAAGGUGAGAAGACCGGAGACAGAGCUUGUGAAGCCCAGGUUUUGCAACGUUGAUGUUGUGGCUCGGAUUCAAUUGCAGAAUCAUUAUGCUUCACAUUUUGAUGCUAAAGGGGUGUUAGGAAUUAGUUUCAGUAGUUUGGAAUUUUAUGUUAUAAGAGUUAAGAGGCUUUUUGGACAGUUGGCUAGGGUUUAUUUGUGA